UCACUUCCGCAGUACAUACACUAAAAUUGGAACAAUACAGAGAAGAUUAGCAUGGCCACUGCUCAAGGAUGACAUGCAAAUUCAUGUAGUGUUACAUACUUAA